UACGAAGGGGGCUAGCGUUGUUCGGAAUUACUGGGCGUAAAGCGCACGUAGGCGGACCUGUCAGUCAGAGGUGAAAUCCCGGAGCUUAACUUCGGAACUGCCUUUGAUACUGCAGGUCUUGAGGAUGGGAGAGGUGAGUGGAACUGCGAGUGUAGAGGUGAAAUUCGUAGAUAUUCGCAAGAACACCAGUGGCGAAGGCGGCUCACUGGCCCAUUACUGACGCUGAGGUGCGAAAGCGUGGGGAGAAAACAGG
rnacentral:rRNA from 1 species